rnacentral:piRNA from 1 species
GGGUAGGCCUCUGUAAAAUUGAUC